rnacentral:lncRNA from 1 species
AUAAUCACUUUUUUUCUUUAGUUUCUUUCAUUACAUCAAAUCCUAAACCAAUGACAAAUUGAAAGAGUUUCUUUUGUGAAUAUUGCAGAUAAAGAAAAUUCAAAGAGAGUCUCAAUAAUGGAAAGAAGCAGUUUUGCAAAUAGGAUUCUUGAACAUGGUAAUUCAAAAUUGAGAGAUCACAUUAUAUUUGAUUUCACAAUCGAGGUUUUAAAUUGUAGUCGUGGUUAUGAUUAUGUCAUUGUCUUUGUUGAUGUGCAAUUGUGAUCUGUGAAUAUGUGACUUUACUCGAAAGAUGCGUCCGGUGUUCGACACUGAUAGGAUACUGGCACAUGUAGAUUAUAUUAAAAUAUUUCAUAUUCUCAAAUUGCUAUGGUCGUGUUCGGUAUUCAUGUUUGUGUCUGUGUUUCAUUUGUGAUUAGGAUGUGGUCGCAGAAAUCUCAAAAACCUUGCUCACAAUGUGUUCGGUAUUAAUGUCUGUGUCCGUAUUUCAUUUGAGCUUAGGAUGCGGUCGCAGAAAUCUCGAAAACCUUGCUCACAAUGUGUUUGUGUAAUUGUUGCAGUGAAAUUGAGUAUUAAAUUUUCUGAGACUCUGAAGAGUAAAUUGAGUUUAGGUGCCAAAAUUAUUCAAAUGAAAAAUCACUUUGGUAGAAAAAAAAUCACUAUGGUAGAAGGUGGCUUCUACCAUAGUGACAGAUUACACAAAUUUUGUCUUUUAGCUAAAUUCUGAAAUAGAGACAAAUGAAUGGCAAUAAAAACUAACCUUUUUUUGGCAAAAAAAAAAGUUAGAGGAGUCGAAAAAAAAGCUUUGGCAAAAAAAAAAAGUUGAAGAGUUAGAGGAGCCGCAAAAAAAAAUAAAAAAUUAGAGGUGAGUUAGAGGAUCCGCUA